CAGUAGCCACGGGAACACGUAGGGUGCGAGCGUUAAUCGGAAUGACUGGGCGUAAAGGGCGCGUAGGCGGCGAUCAAAGUCAGGCGUGAAAUUCCUGGGCUCAACCUGGGGGCUGCGCUUGAUACUUGGUUGCUUGAGUGGGGAAGAGGGUCGUGGAAUUCCCAGUGUAGAGGUGAAAUUCGUAGAUAUUGGGAAGAACACCGGUGGCGAAGGCGGCGACCUGGUCCUUGACUGACGCUGAGGCGCGAAAGCGUGGGGAGCAAACAGGAUUAGAUACCCCGUAGUCCUGUCUCUUAUACAC
rnacentral:rRNA from 1 species